rnacentral:tRNA from 1 species
GCCAUCGUGGUGUAGUGGUCAGCACGCUCGACGAGUGUUUCAGAGGUCCGUGGUUCGAGUCCCGGCGAGGGCA